rnacentral:rRNA from 1 species
GACGAACGCUGGCGGCGUGCCUAACACAUGCAAGUCGAACGGAAAGGCCCUGCUUUUGUGGGGUGCUCGAGUGGCGAAAGGGUGAGUAACACGUGAGUAACCUGCCCUUGACUUUGGGAUAACUUCAGGAAACUGGGGCUAAUACCGGAUAGGAGCUCCUGCUGCAUGGGGUGGGUUGGAAAGUUUCGGCGGUUGGGGAUGGACUCGCGGCUUAUCAGCUUGUUGGUGGGGUAGUGGCUUACCAAGGCAUUGGCGGGUAGCCGGCCUGGGAGGGUGACCGGCCACAAGGGGACUGAGGUAGGGCCCAGACGGCAACGGGGGGCAGCAGUGGGAAAUAUUGCACAAUGGGCGGAAGCAUGAUGCAGCAACGCCGCGUGCGGGAAGACGGCCUUCGGGGUGUAAACCGCUUUCGCCUGUGACGAAGCGUGAGUGACGGUAAUGGGUAAAGAAGCACCGGCUAACUACGUG